rnacentral:lncRNA from 1 species
ACACAAUAUCAAACUUAAAUGAACACGUGAAUCACAGAGCAGAUGAAAUAACACGGGCUUGACAAACAUCGGGUAAUAGAUUCAAGAAAGGGAACAACGGACAGAACUCAAAGGGGUAGCCAACAAGUACCAACCUGUUGCAAACCCAUAAGCUUCGACUAGAGAAAUCGUAAUCAACCGAUUCAAAUAUAAAAUCAAAAAGAAAAGGAAAUUUUAGCUAAGCUUCUAAAACUGAACUGUAAAAUCGGCCGAGAACACACACAUUAUACUAAUAUCACCAUCCAACUAACAUUUUAACAGACAAACAGCCAGUGAAUAUAUAUUUGCAAUAUCGGAAAUAUUAACUCGAAAAGGAAAAGAGGCGAAGAGGGCGUUAUCGAGAAAGACAUAUUACCUUCUCCUGGGCAGCGAUACUAGGACGAGACGGGCUGGAAUAGUGACCUUCACCACACAAAACUCGAACACGAACGACAGCCAAGAAGUUUGAGCAAGAAUAUCAAACCCAAAACACAAAAAAUGAGUA